rnacentral:rRNA from 1 species
CCUACGGGUGGCAGCAGUGAGGAAUAUUGGUCAAUGGACGAGAGUCUGAACCAGCCAAGUAGCGUGAAGGAUGACUGCCCUAUGGGUUGUAAACUUCUUUUAUAAAGGAAUAAAACGAGGCACGUGUGCCUUUUUGCAUGUACUUUAUGAAUAAGGAUCGGCUAACUCCGUGCCAGCAGCCGCGGUAAUACGGAGGAUCCGAGCGUUAGCCGGAUUUAUUGGGUUUAAAGGGAGCGUAGACGGGUUGUUAAGUCAGUUGGGAAAGUUUGCGGCUCAACCGUAAGAUUGCAAUUGAUACUGGCAGUCUUGAGUACAGUUGAGGUAGGCGGAAUUCGUGGUGUAGCGGUGAAAUGCUUAGAUAUCACGAAGAACCCCGAUUGCGAAGGCAGCUUACUAAACUGUGACUGACAUUGAUGCUCGAAAGUGUGGGUAUCAAACAGGAUUAGAUACCCGAGUAGUC